rnacentral:rRNA from 1 species
CCCUUAGAUGUCCUGGGCCGCACGCGCGCUACACUGAUGCAUUCAACGAGUUUUACCUUGGCCGAGAGGCCUGGGCAAUCUUUUAAACCUGCAUCGUGAUAGGGAUAGAUUAUUGCAAUUAUUAAUCUUGAACGAGGAAUUCCUAGUAAACGCAAAUCAUCAAUUUGCAUUGAUUACGUCCCUGCCCUUUGUACACACCGCCCGUCGCUCCUACCGAUUUCGAGUGGUCCGGUGAAUCUUUCGGACUGCGCGCGGCCUUGAGUCGUGUCGCGGAAAGUCAGGUAAACCUUAUCACUUAGAGGAAGGAGAAGUCGUAACA